rnacentral:rRNA from 1 species
UACGGAGGGUGCAAGCGUUAAUCGGAAUUACUGGGCGUAAAGCGCACGCAGGCGGUUUGUUAAGUCAGAUGUGAAAUCCCCGGGCUUAACCUGGGAACUGCGUUUGAAACUACAAGGCUAGAGUGUGGCAGAGGGGGGUGGAAUUCCACGUGUAGCAGUGAAAUGCGUAGAGAUGUGGAGGAACACCGAUGGCGAAGGCAGCCCCCUGGGUUAACACUGACGCUCAGGCACGAAAGCGUGGGGAGCAAACAGG